rnacentral:pre_miRNA from 1 species
AGAGGAAAGCAACACAAUUACUGUUCAAGGCAGGAAGGAUUCCAACCAAAACACGGGUAAAAUUACAGCCCGUGUUUUCGUUGGGAUCUUUUCUGCCUUGAGCAGUAAAACUGUGCUCCUUU